rnacentral:tRNA from 2 species
CGGGGAGUAGCUCAGGUGGUUAGAGUACUGGUCUGGGGGACCAGGGGUCCGCGGUUCGAGUCCGCGCUCCCCGA